GAACGCUGGCGGCAUGCCUAACACAUGCAAGUCGAACGAGACCUUCGGGUCUAGUGGCGCACGGGUGCGUAACGCGUGGGAACCUGCCUUUAGGUUCGGAAUAACUCAGAGAAAUUUGAGCUAAUACCGGAUGAUGUCUUCGGACCAAAGAUUUAUCGCCUUUAGAUGGGCCCGCGUUGGAUUAGCUAGUUGGUGGGGUAAAGGCCUACCAAGGCGACGAUCCAUAGCUGGUCUGAGAGGAUGAUCAGCCACACUGGGACUGAGACACGGCCCAGACUCCUACGGGAGGCAGCAGUGGGGAAUAUUGGACAAUGGGCGAAAGCCUGAUCCAGCAAUGCCGCGUGAGUGAUGAAGGCCUUAGGGUUGUAAAGCUCUUUUACCCGAGAUGAUAAUGACAGUAUCGGGAGAAUAAGCUCCGGCUAACUCCGUG
rnacentral:rRNA from 1 species